UGGGUCCUGGCUGGAGAUCUCU
rnacentral:miRNA from 1 species